AGAACGAACGUUGGCGGUGUGGAUUAGGCAUGCAAGUCGUGCGCGAAAGCCUUCGGGCGAGUAAAGCGGCGAACGGGUGAGUAACACGUAACCAACCUGCCCUCGAGACCGGAAUAACCACUGGAAACGGUGGAUAAUGCCGGAUGGUCCCCGGGCUGGCAUCAGUCCGAUGGUAAAUAGUGGCUUCGGCUACCGCUCGGGGAGGGGGUUGCGGCCUAUCAGCUUGUUGGUGGGGUAACGGCCUACCAAGGCUAUGACGGGUAGCCGGUUUGAGAGGACGACCGGUCACACUGGGACUGAGAUACUGCCCAGACUCCUACGGGAGGCUGCAGUCGAGAAUCUUCCGCAAUGGGCGAAAGCCUGACGGAGCGACACCGCGUGCAGGAUGAAGGCCUUCGGGUUGUAAACUGCUGUCACGCUAUAGGAAAGCCAUGUCGUUAAUAGCUGCAUGGUUGACCAAAGCGAGAGGAAGCACCGGCUAACUCCGUGCCAGCAGCCGCGGUAAGACGGAGGGUGCAAACGUUGUUCGGAAUCACUGGGCAUAAAGCGCACGUAGGCGGCCAAGUCAGUUCGGUGUGAAAGCCCUCGGCUCAACCGGGGAACUGCAUCGAAAACUGCUUGGCUAGAGGACGGUUGGGGUGAGUGGAACUCCUGGUGGAGCGGUGAAAUGCGUAGAUAUCAGGAGGAACACCAGUGGCGAAAGCGGCUCACUGGACCGUAUCUGACGCUGAGGUGCGAAAGCUAGGGUAGCGAACGGGAUUAGAUACCCCGGUAGUCCUAGCCGUAAACGAUGGGCACUAGGUAGGGGGAAUGCCUAUGGUUUUCCCUGCCGGAGCAAAUGUUUUAAGUGCCCCGCCUGGGGAGUACGCUCGCAAGGGUA
rnacentral:rRNA from 1 species